rnacentral:lncRNA from 1 species
UGAUAACACAGUUUUCAGUUCACAUCAGGAUGAAGACAGUGUGUUUGAGAUGACAUAUUAAAGAAAAAGAAAACAAGAUAACGAUCCUCAGGACUAUAACAGCCAACGGAUUCUGAUUAUAGGAACAGACUAAGCUUUAAUAGCAAACAAUGAAGUCCAAUAAAAUGAGAGUGACGUGCACUUGAAGAAAAGUGAAUUCGUCUCUUGUAACUGACUUUCACACCUGAUCCACAUCAUCAGUUUAAGCGCUACUAUCGGUACCUGAGGGGUGACCACGCCCCCCGUCUAGCCAGCCAAUCAUAUCUGACUCCACGUCUGGCGUCUGGAGACACCUGUGUGCUCCUGAUGGCUCGUGUUGAUUGAUCUGCUCGUUAGCUCCUCUCCUCAAACUGUUCGCGUCCAAUUGGAUCCUGUUCGCAAGUCGGGUUGAACUGGACCUUGCGGCCUCGGAGGAGACGCGAACGCGGAGCGGAGUGACGCAGGUGCGGUGCGAAGGUGCAGGGGUCCAUGUGCCGUAGAUUUCGGUCCCUUCAUCCACCGCCAACCUCUCCCCAUCCAACGCAUACUGACCCUGGAGCAGCUGGAGGUCGCUGCAUCCUUCAGUCCUUGGUCUCUAUGAGAACCUGAAGUGAACGCUGGUGAACAUCCUUCGUGGCUUCUCUGAACUGACUGGCUCUGACUCUGCCGCCAAGGACGGGGCAGCUGAUCGAGGGCUGAGUGGACUCUGUCUGCUGGCUGCGCCGCGGACUCAGCUGUUCUAGGCCCGAGCAGCUGUUCUAGGUCCAGCCCCGCGUUCACCGGUGCCGCAUGGCUGCCUCCUUCCAGCUGAGCCGAGGCCUGUUGUCUGCGCUAUAUUUAAUACGUCAGUGAGUAAUUAAUAAGCUUCUAUUAAUAACAGUGGGGGACGUAAAAGAUCCCUUGUCUUCGCCCCUCCCUGUUGUAGCUCAUGACUUAGCCCAGCGGCCCAGUUUAUUAGGGCAGUAGCUGUCGGAGGGCCACUUGGGGUGAAGACUUGCACGUGUUUCAUACACCCUAAUUUAACCUCAACGUAAGGAAUGAUAGCAGCUACCGAAAAGGUGUUAACUACCACAAAUAUGAGUAUACUGACGUAUAUAGUACAGUGUUUACAGCCAUGUUUAGAUCCAGAUAUGCAGAAGCUGUGAUCCGUUGCAGUUAAAGGACAUCAUCUGGUCUCAUUUGGUAAUAAAUUUUAAAAAAAACAACA